CUGCUGCUGAUGCUGUCGUCUCGCCCGGCUGCCCCACUUUUCUUCGAUUGGGACCUCCUACAGCACCGUGUCCCCGCUCGGUCACUGUCCUUUUCCGGUGGUGUUGCCCUCCGGUGUUGCUGUAGUACCGUGGUGGUGUUGUUAUGCAAAUGCUCCUGAUGCUCCACUAAUGCCUGCUGCCACUGGCUUCUUCGACUGGGUCUAUCCUACAGCACCAUGCCCCCUCCAUCUAAAGGCCUCUCUUUCUCUCAGUGUUACUCUCUAUUUUCCUUGAACUGCACCAUGUAUGUUUGCGUAAAGUAAGGUGUGAUUUUUUUACUACCUUGUGCAGAAGUGAUGAUGAAUGGGUGAAUAUCUACUCCAUGUUGUAUGUGUUUUGCUUCCAGAGCAAAACAAUGCUAUAUUCCUUUGUUGCUCUUGAUUGGCAUGCCUUGAUUGGUCUGUUUCACUAGACACUGCUUUUGUUUAAUUUCGGUCUAGUAAUUGUUGCUCUGUUUUGGUCUUGUUGACUUGUUUAGGUUAUCUCUCUAGUAGAUUGGUUACUGUCUUGCUUUUAUUUAUGCAUUAAAAGCAUUGAUAGGAUAAUACUAGCAUUGUUUAGGUUGAACUGAUCGAUUGGUACCACAAUAUCGGUGAUUUGCUAAAAAAUUACAUGUAUGAAUGCAAACUUUUCUAGACUGAUGUGUUGUUUAGUUGUUCCAGUUAGAUGCUUUUGUUGGAUAAUACUAGCUGAUUAUUAAUCAACUACUUGGUGUACUACUACUACUUAGCAUCUGAUUUUGCAGCUAGAUUAAUUAAGUAACCGUGUGGAGAUAGAUUUCUCCCAUCUAAUUUUUUGUGGAACCAUUGGUAGCACAUGCCUGUGAUUGCGAGUACUAAGUGGAUGAAAAGCAAUAGCAUGUAGAUUUUGUACACGAUAUUGCUAUUUGCACGUCUAGUUUGUAUAGCAAUUCUGAAUUGAUUCAGUUUUGCUCAGGUCAUGUUCCUGUAAUGGUGGCGCCCUCUGGUUGUGCGGGUGCUGCUGGUGUCAGUGUUGCCCAGCUGCCCCUGUUUUCUUCGACUGUGGUGAUGCUGCUGCUCAGCUGCUGUCACGGCUUCCCUAGCCUCAGAUGACGGUGCCUCUCCUCCUCCUACUGAGACCAACAUUGGCGAAUAGAUGGCUCAGGUCAGCGCUCCAGCUCCACGGGCUUAGAAUGAAAUAUUUAGAUGGAAAGAGAUGUCUUUUUAACUUGUAGGCUUGGUUAGGUCAACCUUAAACCUGACUUCUAUUCAGUGUGGGCUGAACCUGGAACCUGGAGCUUGAGUUAGUUGUAGUAUAAGAUUUAUGUGUUAAUGUAGAGUUUCUGUUUGCUGGUUGCAUUUAAUGGAGCUGAUCUGGACUUCUAGAUCAAAGUGGUCAAUUUUUUUUGUGAGUCAACGCAAUGCUGCCUUAUAAUGAUGCAUAAAUUCUAUGGUUUCUUGUUUGAAAUGCCUGUUGCUGCUUAUCUUGAAACAUUGAUUGCUUUGCUGACCAUUCUGUUUUUUGUUUGUUUUGAGGAUUACGAGGAGUACCAAAUGGCAAUGGUGGACUUCUUCUUUGACUCCAUGUGGUUGGCAGCUGGAGCCUGAUGCAUUGCUUGGAAGCAAGCUGGUUGGAAAGACCUCGAGGACAAGGAUACGUCACCAAGCGAUGUCUGUUGGUCCCGAAGCAGCAGCCGGCUCAUGGCAAGCACCUUCAUUAGCUCGAUGUAUAUGGUUGCAAUGCAUGUGCAACCUGAUGCAUGUGUUGUUUUGCUGAUCGUCCCAAGACUGAUUGUAUGAGCUGUGCUGUAUGCACCUCUUAUCUUUUUCUUCAUAUGAAUUGCUUGCUGUGUGA